AUACUUACCUGGCAGGGGAGAUACCAUG
rnacentral:piRNA from 6 species